rnacentral:sRNA from 12 species
UCCGGAUAAACUUGUAUCCAUCCAAGAGAAUGGGGCAAGUCACUUUACGGAAUUAGAUUAAGCAACACAUUUUGGGAUUGCCAAAGGCUUACAUACAAGCGAAAUUCCAAAGUGAAAGGAUAACCGUAUGUCCUUUAGCAUAUUUUAUGUUAUAAAAAUAAUCUUGAACAGCUUUAGUUAAGUUUUCAAGUUACGGUAUG